AUCAUGUCUAUAGCCUUUAAAUAUCUCCAUGUAAGACUCUACCAGCAUCAGUUCUCUGCCUUGGUACAUCUCUGCUCUGAGUCGCCAAAUCUUUCAAGAAUGGAGAAAGCACUUCUGAGCACCUGCCUCCUCUUGGCCCUGCUUUCUCCAGGUAAGUAGAAACAAGCAGAAUUGGAUUCUUUUAAUCAUCUUUCAAUGGCACUGAAAAUAUUUACUCCUGGGGAUGGAAGGAGAGUGAGUAAAAUAUAUGAGCAUAAUGGAGUGUAAGGACACCUGUGUUACAAGGAAAGUAGGAGAGAGUCAACUCAAAGGUUUAAGCACUUAAGCCAUAACAGCCAAAUAUAGUCUGUUCCAAACAUGUAUUUAUGUGAUGGAGGAAUCUGACUAACCAUAAUAUGGCUGCCCUGUUUAGGGAAGCUUUUAAUGUUUGAUGCAUUACUGUAUUUUAAUAUUGUGUUGGAAGCCGCCCAGAGUGGCUGGGGAAACCCAGCCAAAUGGGCAGGGUAUGUAUGUAUGUAUGUAUAUAUAUAUAUAUAUAUAUAUAUAUAUAUAUAUAUAUAUAAAUAAAUUAUUAUUAUUAUUAUUAUUAUUAUUAUAUAAGUAUAUAAGGUCAAUGCAGAGGUCAGGUCUGGAAAAGAGUAGUAAUCUGAACUGAGUGCAAGCAGCUCUUGCGUUAUUGGUUGGCCGCCUGGAUACUGUACAAAUAAGAACUGUUGAUAUUACUGAUGGGAAAGGGUUUAGCUUCAAAAAAUGUUUUAUUCAAUACCACAGAGCAUUUUAGUAAGCACUUUGCUACCAAAUAUCUUUAGGACACGUUCAUUCAGCUGCCCUCCCUUAUUGUGAUAGAACUUCAUCAAUUCCACUAUGGUUUUCUGUGUUUGAAUUUCAUUGUGUCCAUUUGACACUUCCAAGAUGGGUUUAACCAAACAGGAUACAUAGGGAUUUCAUGAGUAAGUUUGUUCUAUAGCUUGCUGAUCUAAACUCCAUUUAUACCUAGGACUGCUUUUGCCAAAACUCUUGUUGUUGUUGUUGUUGAGCUGUUUAGUCGUGUCCAACUCUUCAUGACCCCAUGAACCAGAGCACGCCAGGCACUCCUGUCUUCCACUGCCUCCCGCAGUUUGGUCAAACUCAUGCUGGUAGCUUGGAGAACACUGUCUAACCAUCUCGUCCUCUGUCGUCCCCUUCUCCUUGUGCCCUCAAUCUUUCCCAACAUCAGGGUCUUUUCCAGGGAGUCUUCUCUUCUCAUGAGGUGGCCAAAGUAUUGGAGCCUCAGCUUCAGGAUCUGUCCUUCCAGUGAGCACUCAGGGCUGAUUUCCUUAAGAAUGGAGAGGUUUGAUGUUCUUGCAGUCCAUGCCAUGGCGAAGGGACUUGAAUAACUCAGAGAAGCUAUGAGCUAUGCCGUGCAAGGCCACCCAAGAUGGACAGGUCAUAGUGGAGAGUUUUGACCAAACGUGAUCCACCUGGAGCAGGAUCCGGCAAGCCACUCCAGUAUCCCUGCCAAGAAAACUCCAUGGACAAAGACAACAGCCAAAAUCUUAAUCUUGCUUAAUCUUUCUCUUAGAGUAAUUUAUAGAUAGGUUUUCUUAUUGACAGUAUGUACUGAACACCUCCAAAUAAUUUUUGAGGCCCCAUUGUGAAAGAGAGAAGAGCACAAAAUUUACUUAUUUAUUUAUUACUUAUUAAUUUGUAUACCGCCCUUCAUUCAAAAAUCACAGGGCAGUUCACUACAUAAAACAAUCAACACGCAUCAAGAUUCUGUUCCUAAUUACUGGGAUGGGAAUGUUGCAUUGGCACCCAGUCAUUACUAUCAAAGUGACAGCCUUCCAGUUUAAAACAUAUUUACCCGCUUGUCUGCCACCUCCUUAGGAAGAAGGACACCUUCUCCCACUUUAAAGUAUUUUGGCUUGUUUGUAAAACAGCACUAGGGUGAUCAACAUGCAUUUGCCUUCAUAAAUUUAAUGUAUAAAUCUGAAAUAUAUUUGAUAUACCAUAUUUUUCGCCCUAUAGGGCUCACUGGCCCAUAGGGCGCACCUAGUUUUCGGGGGGCGGGAAUCAAGGAAAAAAAUAUGAUUCCCCCCCCCCCCCCGCAGCUCUGGGAGCAGCUUACAGGCCGCACGCAGCCUGUGCGCUACUCCAAGACCUUCUCCCUGCUUUUGCAGGAGGUGGCGGAAUUCCCGCAUCUCCCGCAAAAGCCCACAGGAGGGAGAAGGGACUGACUCGGCCAGUCAGUCCCUUCUCCCUCCUUGGGAAAAAGUCCCCAAGUGCGGCAUGCUCUUUAAAGGCUGCGCGGAUCCUGCGGGCUUUUCGACCCAGCUUGUGGGGCUGGCGCUGGGGGGAAGCGCUGCUUUCCCCCACCGACAGCCUCCAAACCAGGUCAGAGAGUAGCGGGAAGGCAUCACAUGCCUUCCCGCUGCCCCCCCGAUACUCUGGGGCUGGCACUUCCCCCACCGACAGCCGCAAAGAGCAGACUCUCCUGGCUUCAGCGAAAGCAACGCGAAGCCUCCAGAGCGCAGGCUUCGGAGGCUUCAUAUUGCUAUCGCUGAAGCCAAGGAGCCUGCACUCGCCCCAUAGGACGCACACACAUUUCCCUUUCAUUUUUGGAGGGGAAAAAGUGCGUCCUAUAGGGCGAAAAAUACGGUACUUGCAUGUGGGGUUCUCAUGUUUUAUAUCGACUUACUUUCCAUCUCCAUCCAAUGUACCAUUAAGCUCAUUACCAUCUCAGGAAAUCUGCACCAACCUCUAUCUCCUUUAUACAGUGACAUCUCUGGAAUGUUCCGACUGUCAUAGUAGGGCAACUUCAUGCGAAAACGAUGGAUCUACGAUCUGUUACUCUAAUAAAAUCUGUGUUUCUGGUGUUCUGGAUAACAAUAUAGGUGAGCUGAAACUUUUCAAUUACUCUUGUUCACCCCAUGUUCAUGUGUAAAUUAAUAUAAUUUUUUAAAUUAUAACUUGCAUUUAAAUACCAGCUUUUUUCUAAAGAGCACAAUGUGCUGUACAUGGUUUUUGGUACCAGUCGCAGUGCCACCCUCCUCUGUGUGAGGUGUGAUUUAAUGAACUCACACAGAAAAUGAUCUAGAUUAAAAAUGGCCGCAACUUUAUUGAUUACAGGUGUAGGUAGAAUUUUGGCUCAGGCAUUGGUUGUAAAUCCAUUCCAAUCUCCUGCUGGAGGGCUGAAAUCGCUUCAGGGUCAUGUCAUGAAAUAUGGCCUCUCACAAGGCGUCAGUCUACCCAGAUUGAAUUGACUUGCUGGGAAUUGCUGGGACUUCCAUCGAGACCCUUCUAAUGGGGUACCCUGAUUAUGCUGCUGGUUCAGGGCAGUGUGAUUAGGUUCAUCUAUUGAUUCAGGAACUUUGCAUUAUGUAGUUUCACAUUGAAGAGUAAACAAUUUAGUUAAUGGGAAGCAUCAUUAAAAAUAAAUACAUUUCGAGGGAAUUAAUCAGAAUUCUCACAGAUCUUGUGAUUUGUUUCCUUUUGUUCUUUGCAGAAUCAAAGUAUAAAGUGGCAACUUUCCAGGGAUGUAGUAAGUCCGAACGUUGCCACUCAGGUGAUUACAGUUUAACUUCAGCCAAUGGUAAAUACCUCCAGAUGAAGGUCUUCUGCUGCGGAACAGAAGAUUGUAAUAAGGAACCUCUCUAUGGUGAGUAUCUGCAUCUCUGUAAGUUGGCUUAUUAACACGUCAUAUAACUUCCAUCCAGUUACAGGCAAAGGAGAGCAUCUUUGUCUUUCAGUCCAUUCAGACACUAGGUGCAAGGGUCUGAUAAGUAUCUACAACUGAUCCUUGAAUCAUUCAAGUUACAAGAAAGGAGAUUCCAAUUAAACUUCAGGUAAAACUUUCUGACAUUAAGAGCUGCUUUACAGUGGAAUGGUCUCAAUCAGGACAGUGUGGAAUCACCUUAUUGGAGGUUUUGAAGCAGAUUGGAUGGCCAUCUGUUCUGGAUGCUUUAGCUGGGUAUCCUGCAUUACAGGGGGUGGACUAGAUGACCCUUAGGGUCCCUUCCAGCUCAACAGUUCCAUGAUUCUACGAUGAAUCUGGAAUGGAUGAAGUAGAUGAUCAGUCAAACUUCACACAUGUAAGGGCUGGGGCUGGAGGCAUGGAUGUGGAAAUUCUGGGCAUAGCUCUACCAAAUUUGGGUUCUGGGUCUGCCGACUACUUGCUUGCACCCAUAGACAGAGAUGAGAUUACUUCUAAGAGAAUGCAGCUGACUGUAGCUUCAAAUAGCUUGCUAGAUCACCAUAUACAGUGGUACCUUGGUUUAAGAACUUAAUUCAUUCUGGAGGUCCGUUCUUAAGCUGAGGUACCACUUUAGUGAAUGGGGCCUCCCACUGCCGUCACGCCUCUGGAGCACGAUUUCUGUUCUCAUCCUGAAGCAAAGUUCUUAACCCGAGGUACUAUUUCUGGGUUAGCGGAGUCUGUAACCUGAGGUGUCUGGAACCUAAAGCGUCUGUAACCCGAGGUACCACUGUACAAAGUAAGAACUCCAGAAAAAAGAAUGAAAAUGAGCAUACCUGACAAAAGGUGUAACACAAAAUCAUUAUUUAUGGACGCUCAGCAGAUGUUACUAUUCUGCAAAGCUGAUGGCAAAUAUAGAGUACAAUAUGGAGAUAGCACUUCCAGCUUUGGUUAGAAGUUACUAGAAACCAUGAAAUAAAUGAAAUAAAGUUAACAACAAAGAGAAGGGGGGAUGAAGUGCAUCCAUAUACUGACUGUAGGUUUUUACUUUGAUAGUUCCACCUCGUGAGGAUCUUUCCCCCAAUGGUUUAGAGUGCCCAGCCUGCUUUGACCUCACCUAUUUGUGAUUUAAUUUCAAUUGCGAAAGUAAGGGGACUGUCAGCUGCCUUGGCAAUGAGACCAAGUGCAUUGACUAUACUUCCCUGGCUUCAUGUGAGUAUUAUUUCCAAUCAGCCAAGAAAAUCUGCUCCUCUGUCUCUUUGUCACUGCCAAAAAAGCAAUGACUAAUCUUUGUUUGCUUUUUAUAUGUGUUAUGUGUAUAUAGCUUUGAUUUCUUUCUCUGAGGAAAAGGAGGAUGCUCUAGUCCUGUUUUGUGUUCCAAUCUACCCCCGCUAAAAUUAUGUAAGAACUAGAGGGGACAGACUCACUCAUGGGCAGGGUUUUGCAUUGUGUGGGGUGUUUACGAAGGUACAGUAGGCUCCUCAAGGGAUACAAGGGAGGGUGUAGGACCAGAUAGCACUGUCCUGCCUUGCAUUUCUGAAGUACAGAAAGCAUUGGUUUAAUGUGUAGAAAUCAUUUAUAGUCUGGCUUCUAGUAGAAGGUUUUGGUAAUUUCUACGUAUUUCUAAUACAAGCUAGUGCAAGCUUGGAUUUUCCAGCUGACAAGUAAGUUUCUAUUCUGUUUUGGGUUCCAAUCUACACCUGUUAUAAUUAGGUAAGAACUAGAGGGGACAGACUCACUCAGGGACAGGGUUUUGCAUUGUGCGGGGAACAUAAACAAGUACAACAGGCUCCUUACAGCACACCCUUUCCCUCUAAUGCACAAGGGGCAUCAGGGCAGAGGGAUACAAGGGAAGGUGCAGAACCAGCCGGCACAUGACUGCUCCUCCGCACAGCAGUAUGAACCAUUGAGUGCUGGUCCAGGAGGACUGUGUCUUACCACACACCUUGGCCAAAAGUUUUUUUAAAAGGAGGCUGGGAGAAAGAAACAUUCUGCCAGUGCACAACUAUUCAUUUUUCCUCAGAAAUUAGUUGCUUUGAGUUCUUGGAUCCUGAUGCCAGCACAGCUUCCUGUUGGUGCCGCUCAGCUGAUUUGCAUUGACAGCAACAAGGAGUUCAGCCUAUUGACUGUGACUGCAAGCCCUGCUUCUCAAGCAGCAAUUCAGAGUGGCUUUCAAGGCUCCCGGUUGUUCUGCAGCAGCAGCAGAUCUACCUGACACAUAUCAUAUGUGAUGUGUUGUUGGUGUAAGGCAAUUGGGUAUAGCUUUGGUAAAAGCGACAAAUUUAGCCACCUGCUGGGCUUCAUUGGCUAACAGGUUAAGGUUCCUAAGGCAUGCACUAGUGAUAGUUUGCUGACAGAUUAAUCAUACCAUGUGUUGGUUCCAAACACAUUAAGCUUUUAUAAUCAUGUUCUUCCCUAUCCCCAAGGACCUAAUAAAGAACUCAUGCAAAUCUUAUGCUUUUUAUUUCCCAGAUUCAGUAAUUAAGAAAUUGAAACUCAAAGGCUGUGCAACUGAAGACGUCUGUGCCCUUAAUGGAAAAAAGAUUACACUUGGCCGUUUUAAUUUGGAUAAGAUUGUAACCCAAUGCUCUGAUGCCACAAAGCAGAUUGAGCUCGAAGGGUAGGUAGGAGAGAGGAAAGAUCUCCUCCUUGUCAAUUCACCGUUCAUGGUACCAGCAGAAUAUAUUAACAGCUUAUGGUGAGAGGAGGGGCUCACGCCUCCUGGGUUUUCUUUUUCACUAUAG